AUGGCAACUAAAUAAACAAAUAUUUGCCUUCAUGAUCAAAAUGGAGAGAGAUUUUCGAUGUGAUGACUCUGACGAGUGAGGAGCUGCACUCUCAGGUGUGUUGCCAGCAUUGCCAAGCUGUCUGGUGAUGUGAGCGCCAUGGUGCAGCAGAUCAUCAGGAUCCAACAGGAGGUGUCAGAGGUCAAGUCAGGCCUGGGAGAGAGAUUGGGAGAGAUGGACACCAAGAUGAGAGACUCUGAACAACCGGACUGCUUGUAGGUCACACUCAACCUGACCAAGCACGUCACAAGAAGAGGCAUGAAGGCCCAGGGCCAGAGAAACAGCUGACCUGCACAGCCACAUCACAGCUCCUGGAGGCCCAGCAGGCCUUGUCUAGUGCUCUUACAGUAACUCCUCUUAACACACACAACACGGACACUAACCUGUGCAAUCCUUUAGAGAAACAACUGAAUCAUACUGUUUAUCGGUAGAUGAAGGUAACAUCCUCUGGCUCCACAGUGUGAGGGGGACUACGUUGUGGUGUAUGAGCUUUGUCUGAAGGUUAUUUCAUUGAAUGCCUCUGUGGUUUCUGUCUGUCUCAGCAGCAGCUGAAACUCAGUGAGAGGGACUGAGCUAUUCUGAUAGAUGCCCUACUCGAGACUGUAACCUAAACCACGAAUCAAUGAUGUACCAUCAAUGGUACAGCUAUAGUUCACAGAUGCAGUAUUACAAAUAGUAUCAUGCUGUUUUCUACGCAACAGAAUAUAACAGUAAUACAUACUGUAUUCCACCUAAAACAUUGACCUGUUGGUAACUCCAUCAAGGCACUCGGUCAAAGCCUCUACAUCAAGGAGGCUUGGUCCAAGCAAUAUAAGAUAUACAGUAGCUCUCUCCUUGGGAAAUGGGAAAUGUAAGCCAUUAUAAGUGAAUAGGCAAGAUCAUUAUUUUAUGUUUAAGCCCUCUUGUUUUUUUACAAUGGUAAGAUCUUGUCACUUUACCACUACCCAUAUGUACAUAUCUUUCCUUUAUUCAUCUCAUACUGCUGCACAUUGACUUGGUACUGGUACCCCGUGUAUAUAGCCAAGUUAUCGUUGCUCUCUGUGUAUUUAUUGUACAUAACUUGGCUAUCGUUAUUCCUCGUGUUAACCUUCUAUUUAAUUAUUUUUGUUGGGAAUAAAAAUAUUUGAUCAGGCCCAAGCAGGUAAUCCAUCUGUGUCUAUUCCGCCAUGGCCUGGCUCUGGGAACAGGUCAUGAAUGAGGCAGAGACUUAGAAAAAUACUUCCAGGGUGAGGAUCAUUGGUAGCUUGAGCACGUCCUGUUGCACAGACCAGCCCCUUCAAACCACUCACACACACGCACGCACACAGACAGACACAGAUAUAUACAAACACAGACACCCUAGAGGCUUCCUCAUUGCCUCUUUGUCUAGAGGAAACACUCAAUGAGAGUAAUGAGGCAUCCUGUAUUUGAGAAGCUAUGGGUUAAGACACAACAUCGCAUCGUUGAGGCAGCUAUAUUGAGUCAUUGAGAAUAUUGUGCCACUACUCACAGAAAGCCUUUGUGGAAAGCUAACUGCAUAUCCAAGGUGACAGCUUUCACUGAUCCCGUUUGUUGGGGGACUUUGCUCUGCAACCAACUUUUG